UACGGGGGGGGCAAGCGUUGUUCGGAAUUACUGGGCGUAAAGCGUGCGUAGACGGUUAUUUAAGUCAGGUGUGAAAGCCCCGGGCUCAACCUGGGAAUUGCAUUUGAGACUGCGUAGCUAGGGUGCGGAAGAGGGAAGCGGAAUUUCCGGUGUAGCGGUGAAAUGCGUAGAUAUCGGAAGGAACACCAGUGGCGAAAGCGGCUUCCUGGUCCAGCACCGACGUUCAGGCACGAAAGCGUGGGGAGCAAACAGG
rnacentral:rRNA from 1 species